UAACGAGCCAAGACAAAGUUCUCUG
rnacentral:piRNA from 1 species